ensembl:misc_RNA
CUUCCCAGCUGCCUCACAAGGAUCCACACACAGCAAUGGUGAUUCAUUCUGGCUUGCUGAUGAACCCACCGGGCAGGAAGCCUCAAUAUAAAUGACAGGUGGGUCUUAGUGUUGCUCUUGACUAGUGCAAGGUUUCUGGCUGCCCAGA